UACAGAGGUCUCAAGCGUUGUUCGGAUUUAUUGGGCGUAAAGGGUGCGUAGGCGGCGCGGUAAGUCGGGUGUGAAAUCUCGGAGCUUAACUCCGAAACUGCAUUCGAUACUGCCGUGCUUGAGGACUGGAGAGGAGACUGGAAUUUACGGUGUAGCGGUGAAAUGCGUAGAUAUCGUAAGGAAGACCAGUGGCGAAGGCGGGUCUCUGGACAGUUCCUGACGCUGAGGCGCGAAGGCCAGGGGAGCAAACGGG
rnacentral:rRNA from 1 species